UGAAUUAUGCACUACCAUUCAAUCGGAUCACAAUUUAUUUAAAUAUCAAAAACACUUUUAUUCAAAAAGCUUUCAAAAUAACGCGACACUCGGGAUUUGUGAUCCUCGAAAAGAUUGUGUCCUAACUCACUGGAUUCCAAUCUUCCUCGGGAUCUGAGAGACUGAAUAUUCCUUUUAAUUAACACACAAAUAAAAAGCCCAUUUUCGG
rnacentral:lncRNA from 1 species